rnacentral:rRNA from 1 species
AGUCGAGCGGAAACGAGUUAUCUGAACCUUCGGGGAACGAUAACGGCGUCGAGCGGCGGACGGGUGAGUAAUGCCUAGGAAAUUGCCCUGAUGUGGGGGAUAACCAUUGGAAACGAUGGCUAAUACCGCAUAACGCCUACGGGCCAAAGAGGGGGACCUUCGGGCCUCUCGCGUCAGGAUAUGCCUAGGUGGGAUUAGCUAGUUGGUGAGGUAAGGGCUCACCAAGGCGACGAUCCCUAGCUGGUCUGAGAGGAUGAUCAGCCACACUGGAACUGAGACACGGUCCAGACUCCUACGGGAGGCAGCAGUGGGGAAUAUUGCACAAUGGGCGCAAGCCUGAUGCAGCCAUGCCGCGUGUGUGAAGAAGGCCUUCGGGUUGUAAAGCACUUUCAGUCGUGAGGAAGGUAGUGUAGUUAAUAGCUGCAUUAUUUGACGUUAGCGACAGAAGAAGCACCGGCUAACUCCGUGCCAGCAGCCGCGGUAAUACGGAGGGUGCGAGCGUUAAUCGGAAUUACUGGGCGUAAAGCGCAUGCAGGUGGUUUGUUAAGUCAGAUGUGAAAGCCCGGGGCUCAACCUCGGAAUUGCAUUUGAAACUGGCAGACUAGAGUACUGUAGAGGGGGGUAGAAUUUCAGGUGUAGCGGUGAAAUGCGUAGAGAUCUGAAGGA